rnacentral:rRNA from 1 species
GUCGAGCGGCGGACGGGUGAGUAAUGCCUAGGAAAUUGCCCUGAUGUGGGGGAUAACCAUUGGAAACGAUGGCUAAUACCGCAUGAUGCCUACGGGCCAAAGAGGGGGACCUUCGGGCCUCUCGCGUCAGGAUAUGCCUAGGUGGGAUUAGCUAGUUGGUGAGGUAAGGGCUCACCAAGGCGACGAUCCCUAGCUGGUCUGAGAGGAUGAUCAGCCACACUGGAACUGAGACACGGUCCAGACUCCUACGGGAGGCAGCAGUGGGGAAUAUUGCACAAUGGGCGCAAGCCUGAUGCAGCCAUGCCGCGUGUAUGAAGAAGGCCUUCGGGUUGUAAAGUACUUUCAGUCGUGAGGAAGGUAGUGUAGUUAAUAGCUGCAUUAUUUGACGUUAGCGACAGAAGAAGCACCGGCUAACUCCGUGCCAGCAGCCGCGGUAAUACGGAGGGUGCGAGCGUUAAUCGGAAUUACUGGGCGUAAAGCGCAUGCAGGUGGUUUGUUAAGUCAGAUGUGAAAGCCCGGGGCUCAACCUCGGAAUUGCAUUUGAAACUGGCAGACUAGAGUACUGUAGAGGGGGGUAGAAUUUCAGGUGUAGCGGUGAAAUGCGUAGAGAUCUGAAGGAAUACCGGUGGCGAAGGCGGCCCCCUGGACAGAUACUGACACUCAGAUGCGAAAGCGUGGGGAGCAAACAGGAUUAGAUACCCUGGUAGUCCACGCCGUAAACGAUGUCUACUUGGAGGUUGUGGCCUUGAGCCGUGGCUUUCGGAGCUAACGCGUUAAGUAGACCGCCUGGGGAGUACGGUCGCAAGAUUAAAACUCAAAUGAAUUGACGGGGGCCCGCACAAGCGGUGGAGCAUGUGGUUUAAUUCGAUGCAACGCGAAGAACCUUACCUACUCUUGACAUCCAGAGAACUUUCCAGAGAUGGAUUGGUGCCUUCGGGAACUCUGAGACAGGUGCUGCAUGGCUGUCGUCAGCUCGUGUUGUGAAAUGUUGGGUUAAGUCCCGCAACGAGCGCAACCCUUAUCCUUGUUUGCCAGCGAGUAAUGUCGGGAACUCCAGGGAGACUGCCGGUGAUAAACCGGAGGAAGGUGGGGACGACGUCAAGUCAUCAUGGCCCUUACGAGUAGGGCUACACACGUGCUACAAUGGCGCAUACAGAGGGCGGCCAACUUGCGAAAGUGAGCGAAUCCCAAAAAGUGCGUCGUAGUCCGGAUUGGAGUCUGCAACUCGACUCCAUGAAGUCGGAAUCGCUAGUAAUCGUGGAUCAGAAUGCCACGGUGAAUACGUUCCCGGGCCUUGUACACACCGCCCGUCACACCAUGGGAGUGGGCUGCAAAAGAAGUAGGUAG